AGGACGUCGGCAGGCAAGAGAACCUCCUGUGCUACUGCCUCAGUCUCUUUCCAGAAGGUGUAAAACGCUCUGAACUUCUCUGGAUCAAUCUGCUUCUGCCCAUCUGAGAAAGCAGAGGGAGAAACUAGAUCAGAUAUGCAGCUCUCUGGAAUUGAAGCAGAGGAAUGGAAGAUGCAGGUCCAGGUCAAUGACAGGAUGAUUUUUAUCUUCUUUGGAUGGAAGGACAAUGGUCAGAGGUUGCAAGAUGCCUAAAAUAAACCCACCACAUGCAGCUGACCAGGAGGAGGAACUGGGACCAGAGCCAGUUUAGCAGAGAACUCCUUCACUUGCUCUUCCAUAUUAGUCAUUUGGCAGAUUUUGAGCUGCCCUAAGAGGCUGCGGAUAGGUGAAUGAAAACCCAGGUAAUGGAGAAUAAUCUGCAUAGACAACUGCAGAAACAACUAUGACAUUUGCAGGUUGGUUUGUUGAAAAAGUGUGGACAAUGUGACUCUGAGGUGAUAUCAAACUGGCAAAUUAAGUACAGCAUACUUUAUGAAGGCAGAAUGCAGUUUAUGAUGUACCACUAAUACUGCUGUUGUUAUACAGUAUAUUCUCCUCUGUCUCCCAAAUAUUUUCUUCUUUUUCAAUACAUGUGAAUAAAUGUCAUGAAUCUUGACUCUUGGCCAUACCUGGACAGACAGUCCUUGAGAGUAUUGUAAUA